GGGAAUUCGGAGUUAAACUCCCAACCCAAUGUGAACCAUACCAAACUGUUGCCUCGGCGGGGUCACGCCCCGGGUGCGUCGCAGCCCCGGAACCAGGCGCCCGCCGGAGGGACCAACCAAACUCUUUUCUGUAGUCCCCUCGCGGACGUUAUUUCUUACAGCUCUGAGCAAAAAUUCAAAAUGAAUCAAAACUUUCAACAACGGAUCUCUUGGUUCUGGCAUCGAUGAAGAACGCAGCGAAAUGCGAUAAGUAAUGUGAAUUGCAGAAUUCAGUGAAUCAUCGAAUCUUUGAACGCACAUUGCGCCCGCCAGUAUUCUGGCGGGCAUGCCUGUCCGAGCGUCAUUUCAACCCUCGAACCCCUCCGGGGGGUCGGCGUUGGGGACCUCGGGAGCCCCUAAGACGGGAUCCCGGCCCCGAAAUACAGUGGCGGUCUCGCCGCAGCCUCUCCUGCGCAGUAGUUUGCACAACUCGCACCGGGAGCGCGGCGCGUCCACGUCCGUAAAACACCCAACUUCUGAAAUGUUGACCUCGGAUCAGGUAGGAAUACCCGCUGAACUUAAGCAUAUCAAUAAGGCGGAAGAA
rnacentral:rRNA from 1 species